GGGGGAGGAUGGAGUCGCUCGGAGCGCGGGGAAGGUGGCGGGCGCGGGCAGGCGGGAGCGCCUUGCGGGGGACGGAAAAUAGAUGAUGUCAUGCAGUGACGUCUCCAGAAGCACCGCGGCUGCAGGACCGGCUCUUGGGGGGAGUUGUACUGAGGACUCAUUUCUGACUGCCAGGGCAGAACACUAUGAUCCAAGAGGGAAAGCAGUAGGCGACAAAAUAUCUUUGCAUAUGUACGGGCAUGGGUACCUAGCUCUGUGUCUGGGCAGAUCUAGGGGUGCGGAUUGGGGGGCAUCAUCACAUACAAGGUUGGCUGAUCUCGUACGGCGAGCUUUAAACUAGACUCGCCGGGGGAGGGGGCUGCAG